AUUGAACGCUGGCGGCAGGCCUAACACAUGCCAGUCGAGCGGAUGAAGGGAGCUUGCUCCUGGAUUCAGCGGCGGACGGGUGAGUAAUGCCUAGGAAUCUGCCUGGUAGUGGGGGAUAACGUCCGGAAACGGGCGCUAAUACCGCAUACGUCCUGAGGGAGAAGGUGGGGGAUCUUCGGACCUCACGCUAUCAGAUGAGCCUAGGUCGGAUUAGCUAGUUGGUGGGGUAAAGGCCUACCAAGGCGACGAUCCGUAACUGGUCUGAGAGGAUGAUCAGUCACACUGGAACUGAGACACGGUCCAGACUCCUACGGGAGGCAGCAGUGGGGAAUAUUGGACAAUGGGCGAAAGCCUGAUCCAGCCAUGCCGCGUGUGUGAAGAAGGUCUUCGGAUUGUAAAGCACUUUAAGUUGGGAGGAAGGGCAGUAAGUUAAUACCUUGCUGUUUUGACGUUACCAACAGAAUAAGCACCGGCUAACUUCGUG
rnacentral:rRNA from 1 species